GUACUGCUGAUGGGUCCCAAAUUAGAACGAAACAGCUGUCCGGUAC
rfam:Trichobilharzia regenti genome assembly, scaffold: TRE_scaffold0089566